rnacentral:rRNA from 1 species
AAUCCUGGACAAUGUGGGCAACCGUGAUCUAGUCAUGCCGCUUGUGUGAAGAAGGUCUUCGGUUAGUAAAGCACUUUAAGUUGGGAGGAAGGGCUUUAGGUUAAUAAUCUGAAGAUUUGACGACACAAAAAUAAUAAGCACCGACUAACUCUGAGCCAGCAGCCGCGGUAAUACAGAGGGUGCAAGCGUUAAUCGGAAUUACUGGGCGUAAAGCGCGCGUAGGUGGUUCAGUAAGAUGGGUGUGAAAUCCCCGGGCUUAACCUGGGAACUGCUUUCAUAACUGCUGAGCUAGAGUACGGUAGAGGGUAGUGGAAUUUCCUGUGUAGCGGUGAAAUGCGUAGAUAUAGGAAGGAACACCAGUGGCGAAGGCGACUACCUGGACUGAUACUGACACUGAGGUGCGAAAGCGUGGGGAGCAAAC